rnacentral:rRNA from 1 species
UGGGGAAUAUUGCACAAUGGGCGCAAGCCUGAUGCAGCCAUGCCGCGUGUGUGAAGAAGGCCUUCGGGUUGUAAAGCACUUUCAGCGAGGAGGAAGGUGGUGAGCUUAAUACGCUCAUCAAUUGACGUUACUCGCAGAAGAAGCACCGGCUAACUCCGUGCCAGCAGCCGCGGUAAUACGGAGGGUGCAAGCGUUAAUCGGAAUUACUGGGCGUAAAGCGCACGCAGGCGGUUUGUUAAGUCAGAUGUGAAAUCCCCGGGCUCAACCUGGGAACUGCAUUUGAAACUGGCAAGCUAGAGUCUCGUAGAGGGGGGUAGAAUUCCAGGUGUAGCGGUGAAAUGCGUAGAGAUCUGGAGGAAUACCGGUGGCGAAGGCGGCCCCCUGGACGAAGACUGACGCUCAGGUGCGAAAGCGUGGGGAGCAAACAGGAUUAGAUACCCCUGGUAGUCCACGCUGUAAACGAUGUCGAUUUUGGAGGUUGUGCCCUUGAGGCGUGGCUUCCGGAGCUAACGCGUUAAAUCGACCG